rnacentral:rRNA from 1 species
UACAGAGGGUGCGAGCGUUAAUCGGAAUUACUGGGCGUAAAGGGUGCGUAGGUGGUUUUAUAAGUUAGGUGUGAAAGUCCAGGGCUUAACCUUGGGACUGCGCCUAAUACUGUAGAGCUAGAGUACUGUAGAGGAAGGUGGAAUUUCCGGUGUAGCGGUGAAAUGCGUAGAUAUCGGAAGGAACAUCAGUGGCGAAGGCGACUUUCUGGACAGAUACUGACACUGAGGCACGAAAGCGUGGGGAGCAAACAGG